AGCUUUGUGCAGUGGCAUUAUCAGAGUCAGUGAGGUUUAUCUGAGGCACAAUUAUUGCUAAUUGAAAACUUUUCCCAAGGACGUGGUUAGAGAGUCUAGAGUAGAAACAGAUUUUAAAAAAUAGAGACAUUUA
rnacentral:snRNA from 1 species